rnacentral:rRNA from 1 species
GACGAACGCUGGCGGCGUGCCUAACACAUGCAAGUCGAGCGGAGUCAGUAAGAGGAAGUUUUCGGAUGGAAUCUUAUUGAUUUAGCGGCGGACGGGUGAGUAACGCGUGCGCGACCAGCCUUCCACAGGGGGACAACGGACCGAAAGGUUCACUAAUACCGCAUGAGACCACGGUGUUGCAUGACACAGUGGACAAAGGAGCAAUCCGGUGCACGACGGGCUCGCGUCCGAUUAGGUAGUUGGAGGGGUAACGGCCCACCAAGCCUAUGAUCGGUAGCCGAACUGAGAGGGUGAUCGGCCACAUUGGAACUGAGAUACGGUCCAAACUCCUACGGGAGGCAGCAGUGGGGAAUAUUGGGCUAUGGGGGAAACCCUGACCCAGCAACGCCGCGUGAAGGAAGAAGGUUUUCGGAUUGUAAACUUCUGUCCUUGGUGAAGAGAAGAAGACGGUAGCCAAGGAGGAAGCCCCAGCUAACUACGUGCCAGCCGCCGCUGUAA